AGAUCAUUUUAACAUUAGCUGGAAUCAAAAUGUUAAAUUAGUUCUUAUGACUUUAAUAACUGAUACUUCCUCUAUCUGAGGACUAGCUAUUAAACUGAUUUUUUGACUGGGGAGAUGGAAUAGCAACUUCCUCCAUCCACUGCACACAUCAGCUUGUUAUUGUGGCAUUGAAACUCCAGGAGCGGUGGACCUCCC
rnacentral:snRNA from 1 species